rnacentral:rRNA from 1 species
UACAGAGACUGCAAGCGUUGUUCGGAUUCAUUGGGCGUAAAGGGUGCGCAGGCGGUGUGCUAAGUCGGCUGUGAAAUCUCACAGCCUAACUGUGAUAGGUCAUUCGAAACUGGCAUGCUAGAGGAUUGGAGAGGAGACUGGAAUAGUUGGUGUAGCAGUGAAAUGCGUAGAGAUCAACUAGAACACCGGUGGCGAAGGCGAGUCUCUGGACAAUUCCUGACGCUCAGGCACGAAAGCCAGGGGAGCAAACGGG